rnacentral:lncRNA from 1 species
UUUUCCAUCUCCCUUUCCCCUUUUCCAAUCAAACAGCACCGCCAAUCGAUCCCAAAUACUCUGACGAACUUUCCCUUGCAACCCCGACAUCGGAUCUCACCGGAUCCGGUCACCAGUCGUCGCACCACUCCUUCUUCCUUUUUUUCGGUGUUCAAACAACCACAAAUGGUUGAUUGCCACUGCCGAAACUAACCAGCCACCCCCCUCUCUCCUUUUCUCACCGCUGGCAGCC